rnacentral:lncRNA from 10 species
GUCAUUCCUUUGACUCCACCGGACUUCAUAGCCCCCAUGGCCUGGUGUUGGGUCUGAUCACCCCAACAUCCCUGGUGCCCAAUGUGGGGCGACGAAGAUUCUGGCAAUGGAAUGCUAGAGCGUGUGGAAGUGGAGGACGCAUCAUCAGAGGACACCCGAGGACGACUGAAGGAAGCUCAGCAGUUUUAAAAGCUUUUCAUGAAAAAAACGUAUCUGUUACAAGGGGGAAAGAAGCCUCCGGGACAGCAGUCAUUUGCCUCAGCUGCACAAAGGCCAGGCCAGAUGGAAGAGACCAGCCUUCACCGAAGGCCGCAGGGAGCCCGGACACCCGGAGCUGAGCAUUCCGGUCACGCCUCAACCCCAAGGGGCCUGCGCAUGCUCCGCGCUGCGCGCGGCGCCCACGGCCCUGCCCUGAUACGCAGGAGCCCCGGGAUAGAGAAACCCAGAUGAAAACACAAGCCCAGUGAGAUGUUGGCCUCCUCAUCUGCUACCCUCGCCGUCACCUCUGCGCACCAAGCCUUCUGUCCCGGAGAAGAAGCCGUAUUUGGUCUCCCUCGAUGGGCGAGACCGGGGCCACGCGGGCACCGUGAUCCCGCCACUGCAUCCCGGGGACCCGCCGCUCAUCCUGGAGCGGCUCAGGGCCGUUUAGCAGCUUCCGCAGGUGCUGCCUGGCCCCCGUAGACACCAAGCCAGCUUAUCAAAAUUAAGGCAGAAGGCCCAGCAUUCGGUGUCCACACACCUGGACAAGCAGGAAUGGAAUCCUACAAUGCGCAAAAACUGAUUGCGAAGUGGCCUGAGGCAGAGUGUUUUUCAGUCAGGGACGUUGAAAGCUGGAGUUGACGGGGUUCUUUAUCAGAUGGUGGAUCCAGAACUAAACCACAUCCCCAGGCCACCAGUGGAAUGAGCAAUUCACGAGAUCCUGGGCGCCCAGAAGACAGCAAUGGUGCCAGUGCCCCCUCCAGAGCCCAAAGACCAGUACCCUCCAGCCUUCCAUCUCAGGGCGCUUCCCAAGAAUAUGUCCCACCCGUUUUGAAAGCUCCAUUUGAGUUAAUGGUGAAGAAGUAGCUUCGGUUACAUGGUUACAUAAGAGUGCAACUUCAGAAUGAAGAUAGGCCGAGGUCUCACUGAUUUCGGUAUUUCAGCCUUGACUGUGGGCAGUGUCCAGUUUGAACGGGGAGAGAGUUUGACGUUGGGGAAGUUGACUGUGUUGUCCCCUUCGUUGUGCCGCCAUUUGACCAGCCUGUCCAAAGGUACAACGCCCAGUAGACACUACAGGGAGAUAGAGAGACACUGCAGCAACCUGAGGUUGUCCUGAGACAAACUUUUAUACUUGAACAUGGAGACUGCACAUGGAUUUUGGGUUUGUGCUCUGUAAUACACAAAAGCUACAAUUAAAGAACAUAACCAGUCCCAAAGAUAAUUUCAAAGAAUAACGGCAAUUUAAGAGGUAGCUGGAAGUGGGGAUUUGACAGUGCUUAUUUGACGUUACUUCUCAGAGUUGCAAACUAAAAUGUACAAACCGUUAGCAUCAGAUAUCUUGAUGGUUGAAGGUUGUUAUGACCUUCCUGUACAUGAAUCUUUUACGUUCCCUUUCCCUUGUAAGAGGUGACAAAACAUGGAACCCUAGAAUGUGUGAGGAAGCUUGGACAUUAGGUAUAAGGAAAAACAUUUGCAAGCUGUCUGUCCAGGGCCUCUUCCUGUCCUGCAAGGGCUGGUGAGUCUUGGGUGUGUUUAGUUUAUUCUCAUGUUUGUGUUAUUUGAAAAAGUGAAUGGUCAAUAAAUGGCUUCAGAUUUAUAAUAAAAUCAUUUGAUACUAAAAGAAAGAAAUUUCACUAGGAAUUUAUCCUGAGUAAAUCAUCAUGAAUAUGCACAAAUGUAUUUUUACAAAGAUGUUUAUUUCAAUACUAUUUAUAGAGGUUAAAAUUUUUGUAGCAAUCGCCGGGCACGGUGGCUCACACCUGUAAUCCCAGCACUUUGGGAGACCGAAGUAGGCAGAUCACCUGAGGUCGGGUUCAAGACCAGCCUGACCAACACGGAGAAACCCCUUCUCUACUAAAAAUACAAAAUUAACCAGUCACGCUGAUGCAUGCCUGUAGUCCUAGCUAUUCGGGAGACUGAGGCAGGAGAAUCGCUUGAACCUGGGAGGCGGAGGUUGCGGUGAGCCGAGGUCAUGUCAUUGCACUCGGCAACAAGAGGGAAACUCCAAUGC